UUCCUCUUAAGACAAAAGGCCAUUUGGUUUGGGUGUAUGUGACCAAGGACUGGACUCUGCGUCUCCCUGGAAUGCUUCCCACCCCGGCCUCUCCUUAGGCACCUGAAGUCCGCACUCCCUUCCUGCACCAAAGCCUCAGCUAUAAAUAGCAAGAAAAUUCGAGUGAAACGCUGUCUGCUAGAAGAGUGCCUUUCUUUUCACAAUCAAUGAUCCUCUGAAGAUGGCGCAGCACUAUUUAUGGAUCUUGCUCCUUUGCCUACAAACCUGUCUGGAAGCAGCUGAAAGCAACACAAACAUGCUCACGGUGAAUGGGAUUCUGGGGGAAACAGUUACUUUCCCCUUAAAUAUCCAAAACAUACAGCAAAUUACCAACAUUAACUGGGUGAGUUCCAAAACAUCCGUUGCUGUUGUAGUGGCCCUCUCAGGCGCACCCCCCCACGUCAUUGUGACCCACCAAAACUAUAAACAACGAGUAAACGUCUCAAGUCAGAACUACAACUUGGAGAUCAGCAAUCUGAGGAUGGAAGAUGCAGCGAUCUACAGAGCUGACAUAAAUACAAAGAACUCUGAAAAGGAGACACUCACCAGGACCUACAAACUUCAAGUUUAUCGUAGGCUUGGGAAGCCGAAAAUUACCCACAGUUUAACGACAUCUUGGAACAGUACUUGUAACGUCACACUGACAUGCUCCAUGGAGAAAGAAGAAAAAAAUGUGAAGUACAGUUGGAGUCCCACGGGGACAGAGGGUAGUGUUCUCCAAGUCUUCCAGACUCCUAACAACCAAGAGCUGACUUACACCUGUACAGCCUGGAACCCCGUCAGCAACAAUUCGGACUCCAUCUCUGCCCAGCAGCUCUGUGCAGAUAGCCCCACGGGCCUCCGUAAUCAACGUGCUGGAUUGCUGAGUGGACUGGCUGUGCUCUUUCUGGUUAUAGUCAUCCUAUCUUCAGUGCUUCUGUUCCUUUUUUGCAAGAAAGGACGAGGUUCCUCCUUCAAGACCUUCCAUAAGAAACCUGAUGCUGCCUCAAAGAACACAAUAUACACAUAUGUCAAUGCUCCAAGAAAUCCUCAGCCAGAAGAGCUCAGAAUCUACGAUGAAAUCUCCCCGUCCAAGGUGGACAAAACCAUCAGCACUCAGGACAGCAAACCUCCUAGGACUCCAAGCUAUGUAUCUGUGAUCUAGGCUGCCAGACAGCAUUCUCUCUAUGGAAACUAAACCAUAACCACAGAUAAUGGCAGAUACCCUGGACCCAGACUUUCUCUGCCCAGCUCUUACCUGAAGACUGCAAAUCGCCACAUCCCAAUAUGAAAACCAGGAAGCUCUCUGCUGCUGGACAUAGCUUGUGCUUAGAUAGACAGAUGGACAUGUGCCCUUUCUGAAAUGGGUGCAUUGCCUUCUGGAUGAAUAAGGCAAGUCCCUUGGCACAGUGCUCUCCAAUCUUCUUUACAUCGCAGCACAUGUAGAAAAUAUUUUUAUGGCACAAGGAAGUAAACAAUCAAGAUUGCUCAUGUCUGGAGGCUCCCUGUGGCUAGAGGCCUCUUGUGAUUACAGGUGAUGACCUUUCCCAGCAACUCCAAACAUAGAGAGGACCCGUAUUGUGCACAUCUGUAAUAUGCCGUGGCACGCCACCUAAGAUGCUCUGCUGACACUCAAUAUGCGGGAGAAGCCCUGGUUCAUGGCUUGGGAAAAUUAGGCAAAGGCCCCUUUUUCCUUUAGGCAGAUGCAGCCCCUCACCCAAGUGCAUGGCUUGGGGAACUAAGUGCAACCCAACCAUCAAAACAAGAGACUUGAACGAAGCAAAGUCAUUCUCGAGCAGGAACUUGAGAGAUGAUGUUGCAGAUUAUGAAACGAGGCCCAACCCAGUUCCCAAGCUUCACCCGGAGAGUCAUAGAGUUCAGCUCAAGGUUAGGUGCUCCUCCCUCUCCCCUGCUACGUCUGAGCGGAACACUCAAGUGAGUAUUUGAAAAAUUGCUCCCCUUAUGAGCUAACAAAUAUAACCAGCUAAAUCCUAAAUGCCCACAAACAACCCCAGACUGAACGGCAACACUAAACUGCAUUUAGGCAGAAUGAGGCUGUUAGUCCUAGUGAAUGGACCCAUAAAACCCCCUGGCCCUCACUAUCUUUAGCACUUUGUUGGGGCUGCAAGGCCCCCAAAGAAUGAGAUGAGUGUAAUGUCUGCCCUGGGCUAACUGAGAAACCAAUUCCAGCACAGACACUACAGCUAAAUCCUGAACUACAUAUGACCUGGAGUGGCACCGGCUAGCACAGUCAGAAAGGACCUGAUGGGGAGGCGGAGCUGAAACUGGGCCUUGAAGGAUGAAUAGCAUUUGGCAGAGAGUGAAGAAGACAGAGGGCAUCCACAUGAGGAAACCAUAAACAAACAAACAAAACAGCCCUGGAUCUGCAUUAUGUAUGUUGGGCACCUCCCCAGACACACCAUGCAUGGUCACAGCCCCUUGCCUAUGUGUGGCACAGAGCCUCGGCGAGACUGUGUGCUCCACCCCUUCUCCCUCUACACAUUGUGUAAUACCCAGUCCUCUAUGAUUUCCUGAUAUGAUUAGUGAACUUAAUUAUGGCUCUUUUUGCACCCCUUUCUCUCCCCUGUUGGUCCUUCAGUCAUUAUAACUCAUUCCAUUCUGCCUCACAUAUGGACGAUUAUUUAUCUCCCUCUACAUUAUACAUCACUCAAGGACAAGAUCCAUGACUUCAUGAUCAUGAAGAGACGGACAUAAGAGGUGAUAGUUGUAUUCACUUCUGCAUCCACCACCAGGCAACAGUGCCUUGUACCUGCUUGUGAGCAAUAAAUACUGUUGAAGAGAAGGUACUUAUUGGAAGUGUUGAUAUAUAACAGCCAAUAAGCACAGUGGAAUCUAAUUAUGACAUAUAUUAAAUAUCAGGAUGCAAAUGGCAGAGGCUGUUUUGGAGGGAGAAGACUUUCAGAGUUAGGCCAACCAAGAGGGCAGCUGAAGCCAUGAACCAGGUGUGAGCAGUGAAAGGCAGUCACUCUAGGGAGGGACAUGAAGGAGGAAAUAAAGAGAUUUGGUGAUAAAGGAUGGAAAAAUUCCAACAUGACACUGAACACCAUGUUUCUCCUAAAAUUAAAGUACUUCUCAUCUUUACGUGAGUUGAGGGAUCCCUCUUGAAUAUCCUCAUUCUCUAAACUGCCCCUGCUUCUCCCUGGUGUGCUCACUCAUUCAAAUUCUUAAUGUCCUAAUGCCCCGGUGAAAAGUGAAGAAAGAGAUAGGGAAGGAGAGAGAAAGAGAGGGAAGGAGGGAGGAAGGGAGCGAGGGAGGGAAAAAAUCAGGCAAGCGUUUCUUAGGUCUUCCAGGAAAACAAACCUGAGGUGGAACCAGUGCACAGGAAUCCUGAAAGUGGCCUACUCUUUCUGUUCUGUGAAUAUUCUAAUUUAUUAGACUCUCCUGUAAAAUGAGUGUGUAAAUAUAUGCUAACAAAAGGAGACUUGACUUUGGGUGCUGAGUACAAUACAAUGUACAAAUGCUAUAUAAUAUAAUUUUACAAUUGAAAUCUAUAUAAUUUUAUUAACCAGCAAUAUCCCAAUAAAUUUAAUAAAAUUAAAGCAAAUAAAUAAGGAAAUAAAUAAAAGAGUGUGAUUUUAUUUACCCCUUCACAGCUUUCCAGAUGAACUAAAUUGUGACCGACAGGUCUAUAAAAUAAGAAUAUUCGCCCUGCCCUACCCGGUUUGGCUCAGUG